rnacentral:rRNA from 1 species
GUAGGGAAUAUUGCGCAAUGGACGAAAGUCUGACGCAGCCACGCCGCGUGAGUGAGGAAGGCCUUCGGGUUGUAAAGCUCUGUCAUUCGGGAAAAACGGCUAUCCGGGGAAAGUUCGGGUAGUGUGAUGGUACCGAAGAAGGAAGCACCGGCAAACUCUGUGCCAGCAGCCGCGGUAAUACAGAGGGUGCAAGCGUUGUUCGGAAUUACUGGGCGUAAAGCGUGCGUAGUCGGUAUUGAAAGUCGCGGGUGAAAUCCCAGGGCUUAACCCUGGAACUGCCUGCGAGACCUCAGUACUAGAGUGUGAGAGGGGAUAGUGGAAUACCCAGUGUAGCGGUGAAAUGCGUAGAGAUUGGGUGGAACACCGGUGGCGAAGGCGGCUAUCUGGCUCACAACUGACGAUCAGGCACGAAAGCGUGGGGAGCAAACAGGAUUAGAAACCCGGGUAGUCC